UGUUCUGUGGCUUAGUUGGUUAAAUCGCCGGAAUAGCAAUACGGAGAAGUGGGUUCAAAUCCCACCAAAACAA
rnacentral:tRNA from 1 species